GGUUGGUGAGGUAAUGGCCCACCAAGGCGACGAUCGGUAGCCGGACUGAGAGGUUGAACGGCCACAUUGGGACUGAGACACGGCCCAGACUCCUACGGGAGGCAGCAGUGGGGAAUAUUGCACAAUGGGGGAAACCCUGAUGCAGCGACGCCGCGUGGAGGAAGAAGGUCUUCGGAUUGUAAACUCCUGUUGUUGAGGAAGAUAAUGACGGUACUCAACAAGGAAGUGACGGCUAACUACGUGCCAGCAGCCGCGGUAAAACGUAGGUCACAAGCGUUGUCCGGAAUUACUGGGUGUAAAGGGAGCGCAGGCGGGAGAACAAGUUGGAAGUGAAAUCCAUGGGCUCAACCCAUGAACUGCUUUCAAAACUGUUUUUCUUGAGUAGUGCAGAGGUAGGCGGAAUUCCCGGUGUAGCAGUGGAAUGCGUAGAUAUCGGGAGGAACACCAGUGGCGAAGGCGGCCUACUGGGCACCAACUGACGCUGAGGCUCGAAAGUGUGGGUAGCAAACAGGAUUAGAUACCCUGGUAGUCCACACCGUAAACGAUGAUUACUAGGUGUUGGAGGAUUGACCCCUUCAGUGCCGCAGUUAACACAAUAAGUAAUCCACCUGGGGAGUA
rnacentral:rRNA from 1 species